GCUGAGAUAGCUCAGUCAGUAGAGCAUGUGUCUCUUAAUCUCAAGGUUGUGGGAUUGAGCCCCACGAUGGGCA